CAGCACCUCAAGUGGUCAGGAUGAUUAUUGGGCCUAAAGCAUCCGUAGCCGGCUCUGUAAGUUUUCGGUUAAAUCUGUACGCUCAACGUACAGGCUGCCGGGAAUACUGCAGAGCUAGGGAGUGGGAGAGGUAGACGGUACUCGGUAGGAAGGGGUAAAAUCCUUUGAUCUAUUGAUGACCACCUGUGGCGAAGGCGGUCUGCCAGAACACGUCUGACGGUGAGGGAUGAAAGCUGGGGGAGCAAACCGGAUUAGAGACCCGAGUAGUCC
rnacentral:rRNA from 1 species